CCUGAUGGCUCAGAGGUUAAAGCGUCUGCCUGGAAUGCAGGAGACCCAGGUUCGAUCCCUGGGUCAGGA
rnacentral:tRNA from 1 species